GAUGAACGCUGGCGGCGUGCCUAAUACAUGCAAGUCGAGCGAACGGACGCGAAGCUUGCUUCUCUGAUGUUAGCGGCGGACGGGUGAGUAACACGUGGAUAACCUACCUAUAAGACUGGGAUAACUUCGGGAAACCGGAGCUAAUACCGGCUGAUAUUUUGAACCGCAUGGUUCAAAAGUGAAAGACGGUCUUGCUGUCACUUAUAGAUGGAUCCGCGCUGCAUUAGCUAGUUGGUAAGGUAACGGCUUACCAAGGCAACGAUGCAUAGCCGACCUGAGAGGGUGAUCGGCCACACUGGAACUGAGACACGGUCCAGACUCCUACGGGAGGCAGCAGUAUGGAAUCUGCCGCAAUGGUCGAAAGCUUGACGGAGCAACGGCGCGUGAGUGAUGAAAAUGUUGGGGUCGGAAAAAUCUGUUAUUAGGGAAGAACAUAUGUGGAAGUAGCUGUUGACAGCGUGACGGUACCAAGUCAGAAAGCCACGGCUAACUACGUG
rnacentral:rRNA from 1 species